AGAAGAUUUUGAAAAUAUCACAUCAGCAUCUAUUUUAUUGCUGUGAUAUGUUAGUUCAACUAGAUGGACUUACUGAUACUAAAUAUUCCUGCGGAAAGUCUCUAGAAUCAUAAUUAUCUACAUUGACAUGAAAGGAGACCUUUUGCUGCUGAUAUGAACUACACUGAUUAAUUAGUAAUUGAACCUGCCAAGCAAACCUGAUGUAGCAGCUUCAGAACCAGUGGCUUUCUCAAUCUUUCACAGAUUAUUAGUCUGUCUGCCUACACAGAGCAACAGGAUAUUAUCUAUUAUGGAUUACCUUUCAGUGAAGAAGUUGCAGGGGAGACACUGCUCCAGUAUCGUCCAGUUGCUACUGCUGCUUUUCAUCUGCCUGUAACAACACGAGUUGUGGAAGUGAACCAAGAAACAACUUGUAAGGAAGUCACUGGCUCUGUCUUUUCCUUGAACCAUGAGUGUAGAAAAGAAGAACUCCUAAACUGAUACAAGAUGUGGGACAACAGACCUUGCCAGAAAGCUUGUUAAGAGAGAGCAGGUCGUAGAUCCUGGACACUCGAGUACACACCUGGGAUGAUAGGUGUCUCCCUGCUCCUGCCAGACUCCUAUCCUGGAACACAGGCUACACUCCCACAUCUGUCAUGUAGCCUAAAACAUAAUUCUCCAUAGUGAUGAGGUACCUGGAAAUCCUGAGGAUUUAGUCAGUAAGCCCCUCUUCCUGGGCAUUCCUUUGUGAGAAAGAUAUUUAAUCUCUGGUCCAUCCUGAGAAGUUGAUUUGCAUCCAUUUUCCAUGACUAACAACCAAUAAACAAUUUGGAACUAAA